UGGGGAAUAUUGGACAAUGGGCGCAAGCCUGAUCCAGCAAUGCCGCGUGUGUGAAGAAGGCCUUCGGGUUGUAAAGCACUUUUAUCAGGAGCGAAACGCUGUCGGCUAAUACCCGGCGGAACUGACGGUACCUGAGGAAUAAGCACCGGCUAACUUCGUGCCAGCAGCCGCGGUAAUACGAAGGGUGCAAGCGUUAAUCGGAAUUACUGGGCGUAAAGCGUGCGUAGGCGGUUUCUUAAGUCUGCUGUGAAAUCCCCGGGCUCAACCUGGGAAUGGCAGUGGAUACUGGGAGGCUAGAGUGUGUCAGAGGGUGGUGGAAUUCCCGGUGUAGCGGUGAAAUGCGUAGAGAUCGGGAGGAACAUCAGUGGCGAAGGCGGCCACCUGGGACAACACUGACGCUGAGGCACGAAAGCGUGGGGAGCAAACAGGAUUAGAUACCCUGGUAGUCCACGCCCUAAAGCGAAUGCGAACUGGAUGUUGGUCUCAACUCGGAGAUCAGUGUCGAAGCUAACGCGUUAAGUUCGCCGCCUGGGGAGUACGGUCGCAAGACUGAAACUCAAAUGAAUUGACGGGGUCAUAGCUGUUUCC
rnacentral:rRNA from 1 species